rnacentral:lncRNA from 1 species
UCAUGGCCGGCAACACAUGUAGCAAGUUUGAAGGUUUCAAACUUGCUUUUUAAAGUAGGGGCAAAUCUAGAAAGGCAUGAAUAGUGGAGGGGUUUGAAUGAAAAUUAAAGGAGUCUUCAAGGGAUAUUUUGCAAGCCAAAUAAGCUAAUUGGGUCAGCAUGUGGGACGGUUUUGGGUAGCCCAGUGCUCGGUUGGAUCAGUUUUCUCAAUUCAG